GCUUGACUGCGAGACAGACACGUCGAGCAGGUACGAAAGUAGGUCUUAGUGAUCCGGUGGUUCUGUAUGGAAGGGCCAUCGCUCAACGGAUAAAAGGUACUCCGGGGAUAACAGGCUGAUACCGCCCAAGAGUUCAUAUCGACGGCGGUGUUUGGCACCUCGAUGUCGGCUCAUCACAUCCUGGGGCUGAAGCCGGUCCCAAGGGUAUGGCUGUUCGCCAUUUAAAGUGGUACGCGAGCUGGGUUUAGAACGUCGUGAGACAGUUCGGUCCCUAUCUGCCGUGGACGUUUGAGAUUUGAGAGGGGCUGCUCCUAGUACGAGAGGACCGGAGUGGACGAACCUCUGGUGUUCCGGUUGUCACGCCAGUGGCAUUGCCGGGUAGCUAUGUUCGGAAAAGAUAACCGCUGAAAGCAUCUAAGCGGGAAACUUGCCUCAAGAUGAGAUCUCACUGGGAACUUGAUUCCCCUGAAGGGCCGUCGAAGACUACGACGUUGAUAGGCUGGGUGUGUAAGCGUUGUGAGGCGUUGAGCUAACCAGUACUAAUUGCCCGUGAGGCUUGACCA
rnacentral:rRNA from 1 species